rnacentral:lncRNA from 1 species
GUGUGUUUAGUUUCAGCUCAAAUUAACAACUGACCACUCAUAAGUAUUUCUUUCUCAUUCCCACGAUCGCACCUUUAACCUUUCAACUCUAACAUAUGUUUUCUUUCAAUUAUCACUCCUAUCUAGACUACAUCUUACCAACUUUACCCUAAAGUGCAAUCGCCACAUUUGUUGUCGGAUAUUUAUCAAAUGCAUUACAAGUAUGUUUCCGAAAGCAAAAUGUAAUUUGUGUAUUGUAUUUUCGAUGCGUGAAAUGAAU